rnacentral:rRNA from 1 species
UACGUAGGUGGCAAGCGUUGUCCGGAUUUACUGGGCGUAAAGAGCGCGCAGGCGGUCGUCCAAGUCGCGUGUGAAAGCCCCCGGCUCAACUGGGGAGGGUCACGCGAUACUGGUCGACUCGAAGGCAGGAGAGGGUAGUGGAAUUCCCGGUGUAGUGGUGAAAUGCGUAGAUAUCGGGAGGAACACCAGUGGCGAAGGCGGUUCUCUGGGACGGUACUGACGCUGAGACGCGAAAGCAUGGGGAGCAAACAGG